UACAGAGGUCUCAAGCGUUGUUCGGAUUCAUUGGGCGUAAAGGGUGCGUAGGCGGCGCGGUAAGUCGGGUGUGAAAUCUCGGGGCUUAACUCCGAAACUGCAUUCGAUACUGCCGUGCUUGAGGACUGGAGAGGAGACUGGAAUUCAUGGUGUAGCAGUGAAAUGCGUAGAGAUCAUGAGGAAGACCAGUGGCGAAAGGCGGGUC
rnacentral:rRNA from 1 species